CUGUCUUACUAAUUUUAUGUAAUUCCUUUUCACAUGUUUCGUGAGGCUGAUAAAAUGCUUCGUAAGCAGGUAUUCAUGUGGCUCUAUAACAAGUUAUUUUUAGGAAGCUUAUAUACAAAAAUACUUGCCACACUUUCUCUCACUCUCUGGACAGUCAGACAAGAAGGCUCACUUUCUCCAGGAAUCUCCUAGUGCCAGGUUCUGGGCUGUGGACACCAUGCUGGCCAGAGGAAGCUGCUGCACAGUGUCUUCCUUUGGCUUUGGUAUCAAGGUAAUGCUGGCCUCAUAAGUUGUCUCCCUUUAUCCAUGAGGGACAUCUUCCAAGGCCCCCAGUGGAUGUCUGAAACCGCAGCAUACUUUUGUCCAUAAAGCAAAAUCCGAAGAUUAGUGUUAAGAAACAGGAUUUGGAACUCUCAGAACAAGGCCAUUGGGGGUGGAGAUUUCUUACCUAUGGCUUAAAGAGGCUUCCGAGGUGAUCGGGCAGCAUCAGUCUUCAGCUGCUAAGCCGAGAAGAUCUGGGAAGGAGUCAGUCAGAGAGCCGUGGGCCAGAGUUCCAGGGGCUCUGGGAGUGGCUGCCAGGUAAGUUGAACAGUCUGAUUUUCAGUGGGGUCCUGCACAGAUGGGACACGGCUUAGGAGGAAUCCCGGGCUGUGGGCAUUCCUUGGCCUGGUGGCCAGAUUCCGGCACUUGUAGCAAGCUCCUGGGGGUUCUGGAGGAACACUUGGCAGCUGCAGUUCAGGCAUUUGGAGUUCUUGUGUGCUGGAGAUGUGGCUGGGGUUUGUCUCAGUGCAGGCAAGGAAUUGCAAUUUAGAAAUAUGUUGCUACUUGGCUGCCUCUACUCUAAUAUUGUAUACCUUGAAGGUGAGGUUAAUUAAGUCUUGUUGUGAGGUUUGAGGGCCGGAAUUUAAUUUUUGGAGCUUUAUUUAAUGUUGGGAGCAGAUUCAGUAAUAAAAUAAAAUGUAUAUUGAGAAUAAGACGUCCUUUUGACCUUUUAGGGUCUAGGGCUGUAAAGUGUCUCAGGGUUGCUGCUAAUGGGGCCAUGAACUGGGCUGGGUUUUUUAUAGUUGAUGAAAAAGAGCUUAAACACUAACUGAUUUGGGACAGGUCGGAUAAAUAAAAAGGAGCAUUAACAUUGACUAUGCCUUUAGCUCCAGCCACCUUUUUAAGAGGAAAUUGCUGGGCAGGUGGGGGAGGGCUACUCAUGGAACGAAACUAUAAGACAGACCGGGUGUGAGUAGGGGAGGUGAUAAAAAGAUUAUAGGGUGUAGGAGCGGAGGCUGAGGAAGAAUUGGGACCUAGCUCGGCCUGGCGAGGAGGGGAGAGGUCAGAUGGGUCUGUAGAAAAGGAAGAUUAGAAAGAGUCAGCAACGCUUGGGGUUGGGAGUGAGGGGACAGGCGGGAGGGAAAGAAGGAAGAUUU
rnacentral:lncRNA from 1 species